rnacentral:rRNA from 1 species
UACGUAGGUGGUUUAUUAAGUCAGAUGUGAAAGCCCCGGGCUUAACCUGGGAACUGCAUUUGAUACUGGCAAACUAGAGUAUGGUAGAGGGGGGUAGAAUUCCUAGUGUAGCGGUGAAAUGCGUAGAUAUUAGGAGGAAUACCAGUGGCGAAGGCGGCCCCCUGGACCAAUACUGACACUGAGGUACGAAAGCGUGGGUAGCGAACAGGAUUAGAUACCCUGGUAGUCC